rnacentral:rRNA from 1 species
UACUAAGGGGGCUAGCGUUGUUCGGAAUCACUGGGCGUAAAGGGCGCGUAGGCGGCCGAUCAAGUCGGGGGUGAAAGCCUGUGGCUCAACCACAGAAUUGCCUUCGAUACUGUUUGGCUUGAGACCGGAAGAGGUAAGUGGAACUGCGAGUGUAGAGGUGAAAUUCGUAGAUAUUCGCAAGAACACCAGUGGCGAAGGCGGCUUACUGGUCAGGUUCUGACGCUGAGGCGCGAAAGCGUGGGGAGCAAACAGG